AUUGAACGCUGGCGGCAGGCUUAACACAUGCAAGUCGAGCGAGCGGCGGACGGGUGAGUAAUGUAUGGGGAUCUGCCCGAUGGAGGGGGAUAACUACUGGAAACGGUGGCUAAUACCGCAUACUAUCGGAUGUACCCAUAUGGGAUUAGCUAGUAGGUGGGGUAAAGGCUCACCUAGGCGACGAUCUCUAGCUGGUCUGAGAGGAUGACGAGCCAAACUGGAACUGAAACACGGUCCAGACCCCUAGGGGUGGCAGCAGUGGGGAAUAUUGCACAAUGGGCGCAAGCCUGAUGCAGCCAUGCCGCGUGUGUGAAGAAGGCCUUAGGGUUGUAAAGUACUUUCAGCGAGGAGGCGUUACCCGCAGAAGAAGCACCGGCUAACUCCGGGCCAGCAGCCGCGGUAAUUC
rnacentral:rRNA from 1 species